rnacentral:lncRNA from 1 species
GCUUAUUCAGUUCAGUUUUGGAGGCUCAAGGGCAUGGCACUGCCUCUGCUGAGGACCUCCUGGUGGAUGGCAUUACAGCUGCAGAAGAUUGUGCAGGAUCCAGAGAUCACGUGUUGAGACAGGAAACAGAGACCAGGGAGACACCAGUCUCUCUCUUAACAACAGCUCACUCUCCAGAACAACCAAUUCACACCAGAAGGUCAAUAUCCAUUUUUUCCCAAGGCAUCACUUCCAGUAGCCUAAUGACUUCCCAUAUCUCCAGCUCUUUAUUUUUGAGACAGGGCCUUGCUAAGUUGCUGGGGCUGGACUCAAACUUAUGAUCCUCCUGCCUCAACCUCUGGAGUCAUUGGGAUUAUAGGUGUGAACCAUGGUGCCCAGCCCCACCACCUCUUAAUAUCAUACUGGGGUCCUGGCUUCUAACCGUGAACCCUCAGAGGUAAACCACAUCCAAACUGCAGCAGCACCGCCCUUUUCAUCAUUUAGGUUGGUAACAACUUAUAUUUGGGGAUGAGUACCCUAUUGACUGAGCAGAAACCCCAGAUUACAUGAGGGCUGGUAUACUCCCCAGAAUAUCCAACCUACAAGGUCUUUCAGAAGUAAACAGACUAUUUGAUAACCUUAAGGUUAGUUUAAGGCCAUUAGAAAAUAGGUCAGGGAAACUUUUUAGAGAAGAGGUAACUAGGCACUGAGAACUAGUAAAUGCAGGACAACUGAUUAGUGCUUACCUCUGUCAGUUGUCCAGGAAACAGAUUUGAGAGACUGAGGUGAGAGGGAUCCUAAAUAUCAAUACUCCUGCUAUGGAACUCUGGGAGGGAUGUUCAUGAAAAAGAUGAUCCUUAGAAAGGUUCAUUGUAGGGCUAUAGCUGUAGCUUAGUGGUAGAGCGCUUGCCUAGCAUGUGUGAAGCACUGGGUUUGAGUCUCAGCAUCACAUAUAAAUGAAAUAAAGGUCUGUCACCAACUAAAAAAUAUUUUUAAAAAAGGGUCAUUGUAAUGGUGUUAUUGGAUGUACCCCGAUGUGAGAAUUCAGAAAUUUCUGUCAUUUGAACACUUUUUUUUCCCAUCGACUUGGGAGACUGAGGCAGGGGAUUGAAUGGCAUGUAUGCUAGGCAAAUGGUCUACUACUGAGCCACAUCCCCAGCCCUUCAUUUUUUAUACUUAGAGACAGAGUCUCACUGAAUUGCCCAGCCUGGCCUUGAGCUUGAACUUGUGAUUCUCCUGCCUGAGCCACCCUAGUAGCUGGGAUUACUGUGUGCUAUACUCCCUUUCUGUUACAGCUGUUUGAAAGUCCUGGGGCUGUCGUACACCCAAAGGGUGGGAGUUCUGCACUGCUAGGAUUCUGACAUGCUCCCUUAUACUGGUACUGGAGGAGGAGGAGGAUCCUAAAGCAGAGGGAUGUUUUGUUUUUUUAGCCUUAGCCCCUGCUCUUCUAAGUAGCUCUGAGAGUUGUAGGGAGGUAGAACAGAUUGUAGAGUAGAUGGGGAGUUUUUCUCUGUUUUGGUACAUCUUUAUCAAUUGUUUUAUGGAUCUGGAAAAUGUUUUGUAAAGAUGGCUGGAAGAAGCAAGCACCCUUGGGGCUGGAGAUGUGGCUCAAGCGGUAUCGCGCUCGCCUGGCAUGUGUGCGGCCCAGGUUCGAUCCUCAGCACCACAUACAAACAAAGAUGUUG